GAUCAUGGCUCAGGAUGAACGCUGGCGGCGUGCCUAAUACAUGCAAGUAGAACGCUGAAGGAAGGAGCUUGCUCUUUCCGGAUGAGUUGCGAACGGGUGAGUAACGCGUAGGUAACCUGCCUGGUAGCGGGGGAUAACUAUUGGAAACGAUAGCUAAUACCGCAUAACAACAGUUGUUGCAUGAUAACUGUUUAAAAGGUGCAAUUGCACCACUACCAGAUGGACCUGCGUUGCA
rnacentral:rRNA from 1 species